GUGAAUCAUCGAAUUUUUGAACGCAAAUUGCACUCUCCUCGGAGAGUAUGCCUGUUUGAGUUUCAGCCUAUAAAUAAUCGACAUCGUUUCUGUUUCGCGGUGUCGUUCGUCGGCACCUGGGUUAUCUUAUAUCCCUUUCGGUUUUAAGCGCCUUAAUUUUUCCUUUUUGUUUCCAUGAACGUUUCUAUGAUUUAUUUCUUUACACCUUUAAGGUAUCGUUGUUUAUUAGACGUGACUUU
rnacentral:misc_RNA from 1 species